rnacentral:rRNA from 1 species
UCCCUCGACAACCCGAGAGAUCGGGCGUUCCCCUUCGGGGGACGAGGGUGACAGGUGGUGCAUGGUUGUCGUCAGCUCGUGUCGUGAGAUGUUGGGUUAAGUCCCGCAACGAGCGCAACCCUCGACCUUAGUUGCCAGCAUUCAGUUGGGCACUCUAAGGUGACUGCCGGUAAUAAACCGGAGGAAGGUGGGAUGACGUCAAAUCAUCAUGCCCCUUAUGACCUGGGCUACACACGUGCUACAAUGGUUGGUACAACGAGUUGCGAGUCGGUGACGGCGAGCUAAUCUCUUAAAGCCAAUCUCAGUUCGGAUUGUAGGCUGCAACUCGCCUGCAUGAAGUCGGAAUCGCUAGUAAUCGCGGAUCAGCACGCCGCGGUGAAUACGUUCCCGGGCCUU